rnacentral:lncRNA from 1 species
GUCGGAGUUAUUGUAUUUUUGUCUCAAAAAUAUUUUGAACUCGAAUACACGAUAAAGACUAAAUCAAUUGUUGACAACGCAACAUCGGAAUCUAGGAGCGUUUAAUCUUGCUUUUGCUAUAUGAAUGUAGGAGGCCCGACAAAUAGAAGCGGGAGAUACAAAAGAGACAUUAAAACUCAUGAGACGAAGAGAAAUUUACAGCGCCAUGACAAAAUUGACAGAUGAAGAAAAAGACAAACAAGUCCAAACUAUAAUACAUAUAAAAAAAUAAGACUAAGACACACAAAUCCCAUCAUAGUUUAGGAUUGAUUUCAGGUUCUCC